ensembl:lncRNA ACTG1P17 actin gamma 1 pseudogene 17
AGCACACAGCAAGAAGGAGGCCAUCAGCAAACUGGGAAGAGGACCCUCACCAGGAACCACAUCUGCCAGCACCUUGAUCUUGAACUUCUCAGCCUCCAGAACGAUCACAAUGGAAGCAGAAAUCACCUUGCUCAUUGUUGACAAUAGCUUUGCCAUGUGCAAGUCUGCCUUUGCUGGGGACAAUGCCCUCAAGUCAUGUUCCUCUCCAUUGUCAGGCACCCCUGGCACCAGGGCAUGAUGGUGGGCAGGGGCUAGGACUCCUAUGUGGGCGAUGAGGCCCAGAGCAAGCAGCAUCCUGAUCCUGAAGCACCCCAUGGAGCAGGCCUCAUCACCAACUGGGACCACAUGGGGAAGAUCUAGCACCAUACCUUCCGCAAUGGGCUGCACGUGGCCCCUAAGGAGCAACUGGUGCUGCUGACCGAGGCCCCCGAGCCCCAAGGCCAACAGAGAGAAGAUGAUUCAGAUCAUGUUUGGGGCCUUCAACACCCCAGUCAAGUACAGGGCCAUUCAGGUCACCCUGUCCCUGCAUGCCUCUGUCAGUGCCAUUGGCACCAUGGGGGACUCAGGCGAUGGGGUCACCCACACUUGCCCAUCUCCAAGGAUACAGCCACCCUCUCCCAGUCAUCCUGUGUUUGGCCCUGGCUGGCCGGGACCUGGCCGACUACGUGGUGAAGAUCCUCGAGGGGCCCGCUACAGCUUCAUCACCACAGUGAAGUGGGGGAUUGUGCGUGACAUCCAGGAAAAGCUAUGCUGUGUUGCCUUGGACUUGCAGCAGGAGAUGGCCACUGCCGUGUCCUCUUCCUUCCUGGAGAAGAGCUACAAGCUCUCCCACAGCCUGGUGGUCACCAUCAGCAAUGAGUGGUUCUGGUGUCCAGAGGCGCUGUCCCAGCCCUCCUUCCUGGGCAUGGAAUCUUGCUGCAUCCAGGAGACCAUCUUGACCUCCAUCAUGAAGUGUGAUGUGGAUAUCUGCAAGGACCUGUACACCAAUGUGGUGCUGUCUGGCAGCAUUGCCAUGCACCCAAGUAUCACACACAGGAUGUAGAAGGAGAUCACUGCCCCAGCACCCAGGACCAUGAAGAUCAAGAUCAUGGCUGUCUCUGAGCACAAGUAUUCCAUGUGGAUCAGCAGCUCCAUCCUGGCCUCACUGUCCACCUUCCAGCCAAUGUGGAUCAGCAAGCGGGAGUGCCACCAGUCAGGCCCCUCCACUGUUCACCGCAAAUGCUUCUAAAUGGACUGUGAUGAGAUACGUAGCCUGUGCUGCCUGAGUCAAUUCAGAAGUACAAAUUUGUCCCUGGAAAAUGUAUACAUCUCAUGCUAGCCUUAGGAAACUGGAAUAAGCCUUUGAAAAGAAAUUUGUCAGGCUGGGUGCAGUGGCUCAUGCCUGUAAUCCCAGCACUUUUGGAGGCCCAGGCGGGCGGAUCACCUGAGGUCGGGAGUUUGAGACCAGCCUGACCAACAUGGAGAAACCCCGUCUCUACUAAAAAUACAAAAUUAGCCGAGCAUAGUGGCACAUGCCUGUAAUCCCAGCUACUCGGGAGGCUGAGGCAGGAGAAUCGCUUAAACCUGGGAGGCAGAGGUGAGCUGAGAUCGCGUCAUUGCACUCCAGCCUGGGCAACAAGAGUGAAACUCCGUCUCAAAAAAAAAAAAAAAAAAAAGAAAAGA